GAAGGUAGCAUAAUCAUUAGUCUUUUAAUUGAAGACCGGAAUGAAGGGUCGGACAAAAAGCAACCUGUCUCAAUCAAAACCCUCUAAUUUAACUUUUAAGUGAAAAGGCUUAAAUAUUCUCGUAGGACGACAAGACCCUAUAAAACUUCAUACACUUACCUUAACCUUCGAUUUAUCCGUGAAAAGUUGGGUACGUAAAAUGUAUUCCGUUGGGGCGACGAAAGUACAAUUUGUAACUGCUUUUUUUAGAAAACAUUCAUAAAUGAAACUUUUGAUCCUUUUUCAAGAUUAAAAGAAAAAGUUACUUUAGGGAUAACAGCGUAAUUUUUUUUGAGAGUCCUUAUCGACAAAAAAGCUUGCGACCUCGAUGUUGAAUUAAAAUACCCUUGAGGUGCAGCAGCCUGCUAAGGUAGGUCU
rnacentral:rRNA from 1 species